CAAGACUCCUUCUCAGAAAAAAAAAAUACAAGAAUUUUAGAAAUCCUACACAAAUUUAGAAUGGAUUGAUGACAUACACUGAAUAUAACCUAAAGAAGGUUCAACAUUAUUUUUUAUUUUGACAGUGCUAGCCAUGUGACUUAACAUGUUAAAUAGUCCUGUUUACCUCUCUUUUGGGUGCUUCAGGGGCCUCUGUAGUAUCCCAAAGUUAGAGGUCAGAACAUAAAAUUUUGAAGUUGUAAUUUGAUUUUGGGAAGCCUAUUAAAUAUAUUAAAGGUUUAAACACUUGAUGUUAUGAAAUAGAAUUCCACGUCAACGUAAGUCAUUCAUUUACCUAAAAUCAUGACUUAAAAAAUUUUUAAAGGGCAAAAAUCUUUACUCAUUGAUAGGGGGAAGACUUAUCUCCACAAAUAAUCUGCCUCUUGUUUUUCCUUUUUUUUGUUGAGCAGUUUUGAGUGAGUUUCUUAAUGCCGAGUUCUAGUUUGAUUGCACUGUGGUCUGAGAGACAGUUUAAUUUCUGUUCUUUUACAUUUGCUGAAGAGGGCUUUACUUCCAAGUAUGUGGUCAAUUUUGGAAUAGGUGUGGUGUGGUGCUGAAAAAAAU
rnacentral:lncRNA from 1 species